rnacentral:sRNA from 1 species
GCCAGGUGUGGUAGUGAACACCUGUAAUCCCAGCAGCUCAGGAGGCUGAGGCAGGAGGAUCACAAGUUCAAAGACAGUUUCAGCAACUUAGUGAGGCUCUAAGCAACUUUGUAAGACUCUGUCUCAA